AGCAGCAGAGCAGCGAUCAGUCGAGUGCGGCAAGGGUGACCACAAAGCCGUGAGCUUGCGCAGUCCAGCUUCAGAUAGAUGUUCUUACCAGACUCUUAGGAGCCCACACAGCUCUUCUAACACCGGAUGUGCUUCUGACUCUCCCAGGGUCCUGUCCAGACUCUUCACUCAGCGUCUGCCAGUAGUAGGAAGCUCCGCCCCUGAGUUCCGCUUAAGGCCAGUCCUCAUUGGCCGCUGGCCGCACCUCUACCUUCCCAUUGGCUGUACGUGCGUAAACAACGGCUGCUUACUUUAGAGCCAUUCGCUACUGCCCUUGUCGAUCAAGACCCUGGCCGCCAACCGGUGUCGUAACAAAAGGUGAUAAUGAAAGUAGCCAGGAAUGGCAUACUUGACAAUAAAGAACAUGAAGAAAACAUGGAGCGGGGAGUAGGAAAUAGGUGAAGGGGAUUAAGAGGUACAAGCCCAUACUUGUACAAGCCUAAUCAUUAAGCUGUACUGCCUCUCAUUGUAAAAUUGACAUAUAUUGUUAAUGUAAUUUUGUGAAAGUU